rnacentral:rRNA from 1 species
GGAAUAUUGGACAAUGGGGGCAACCCUGAUCCAGCCAUGCCGCGUGAGUGAUGAAGGCCUUAGGGUUGUAAAGCUCUUUCGUCAGGGAAGAUAAUGACGGUACCUGAAGAAGAAGCCCCGGCUAACUUCGUGCCAGCAGCCGCGGUAAUACGAAGGGGGCUAGCGUUGUUCGGAAUUACUGGGCGUAAAGCGCACGUAGGCGGACAUUUACGUCAGGGGUGAAAUCCCGGGGCUCAACCCUGGAACUGCCUUUGAUACUGGGUGUCUUGAGUACGAGAGAGGUGAGUGGAAUUCCGAGUGUAGAGGUGAAAUUCGUAGAUAUUCGGAAGAACACCAGUGGCGAAGGCGGCUCACUGGCUCGUAACUGACGCUGAGGUGCGAAAGCGUGGGGAGC